CAGGGCCUUGGCUGCAUGAGGAGAAAAGGCAGAAGUCCAGCUUCUUUCUGCCUCCCUGGAGAAGCUUUCCAGACCAGCCCGCUCAGAGGACCAAGGAAGGCACCUGAGCCCCCGAUGUGUCAUGGGAGACCUGGCUCCCUUAUCCUUCCCUGCCUCCCCAAGGACAUCGGGGUGUGGACAGGACGGAGGCCGCGGCGCUGAUCCGAACCUGUCUGUCGACCCCCCUGGACAGUGGAGGACUAACUGGCUCCUCUUGGGAUACCAUGAG